GCAACGUGCUUUCUAGCUUGUUGCUGUUUUGGUUAGGACUCAUCUAACACGCUUGUGCAUGACAUUUGGUUUCUCCACAUAUUUCUUUAAGAUAACUUUAUCUAUUAUUAUAUUGUUCACUUUGAAUGCCUGAUGCAGAACACUGACCUGUUCUGAGGCAAGUUUUCACUUUAUCUAUGAAGCCUACGAGGGUGGAGUCCUGUGCUGAGGAAGUCACAAUGUUCUGAGUGUGACAGUGACCUAGGUGACAUUCUACUUAAUAGUUCUAAAAACAGUUGUGCAUACUCAUGUAGUUCAGGUACUUUGUGCUGUGGUUUUUAUUUAUCAUUUUUAUCACAUAUUUAAAAUUAAAUGGAGAAGAAUUUGGAAGUAUUAUCAAAGAAGAAAAUCCUGCCCUCAUCUUAGUCUGAACGGUUGCGAAACAGGCCAGCCAUUUUAGUUCAUUAAUGUAAUCAUGCCAUUUUUUUUUCAACCUUAAAUUUCUUGCUUGAACUUUUUUCAAAAUCUCCCUUUUCAAAAAAAUCCUAUGAAUCUGAGAACUGUCCUACCAAGAUCUGUGAAGAAUUGAGUUGGAAUAUUGGUGGAGACUGCAUUGAAUCUGUAGAUUGAAUUGGUUCACUUCUGUUCUGCUCUGUAUGGAUGAAAGUAGGACUUAGAUGAUCAGACCGGUUUCCUUUCCUGCUUUUGGGAUACACUUGUGUGUAGCAGAUAUUUAGUAAGUUUGGGAAUGAAGAACAUUAUACGGACUGUCAAGUUAACACUGGCCAUUGGACACUCCUCUCCAUAGCACCUUUCCACCAUCUCACACUGGGAGACCUCAUUCUUUCCAACAAUUGGCAGCCCUGAGACUCAGGCCUUCAUCCCUCUCCCUACCAAGUGGCCAUAGAAGCCAGUGCAUUGUGGUGAGGCCCCAUCAAAGGUGCCCUAUGCUUUUUAAGUAUGGGGAGCUUCUGUUCUCAAGACAGGUUCUUUCAUUUAUUUUCUCAUGUUCAGAGUGGACUACGGCAUGCAAUCCUCCUGACUCAGAUUCCCAAGUGCUGGGAUUGCAAGCAUUGAUCAUUAUUCCUGCUUGAUUCUGGAGAAAUUUAAGACAAGCAAUCUUAAGAUCAUUGAUUUGUGGGUUGGUUGUUUUGCCUAGGAUGCUCUGGCUCAGGAGUCUGUCAGGUCUCUUUUUUUUUUUUUUUAUUAACUUGAGUAUUUCUUAUAUACAUUUCAAGUGUUAUUCCCUUUCCCGGUUUCCGGGCAAAAUCCCCCUCCCCCCUCCCCUUCCUUAUGGGUGUUCCCCUCCCAACCCUCCCCCCAUUGCCGCCCUCCCCCCAUAGUCUAGUUCACUGGGGGUUCAGUCUUAGCAGGACCCAGGGCUUCCCCUUCCACUGGUGCUCUUACUAGGAUAUUCAUUGCUACCUAUGGGGUCAGAGUCCAGGGUCAGUCCAUAUAUAGUCUUUAGGUAGUGGCUUAGUCCCUGGAAGCUCUGGUUGCUUGACAUUGUUGUACUUUUGGGGUCUCGAGCCCCUUCAAGCUCUUCCAGUUCUUUCUCUGAUUCCUUCAACGGGGGACCUAUUCUCAGCUCAGUGGUUUGCUGCUGGCAUUCGCCUCUGUAUUUGCUGUAUUCUGGCUGUGUCUCUCAGGAGCGAUCUACAUCCGGCUCCUGUCGGUCUGCACUUCUUUGCUUCAUCCAUCUUGUCCAAUUGGGUGGCUGUAUAUGUAUGGGCCACAUGUGGGGCAGGCUCUGAAUGGGUGUUCCUUCAGUCUCUGUUUUAAUCUUUGCCUCUCCCUUCCCAGCCAAGGGUGUUCUUUUUCCUCAUUUAAAGAAGGAGUGAAGCAUUCACAUUUUGAUCAUCCUUCUUGAGUUUCGUUUGUUCUAGGGAUCUAGGGUAAUUCAAGCAUUUGGGCUAAUAGCCACUUAUCAAUGAGUGCAUACCAUGUAUGUCUUUCUGUGAUUGGAAUAGCUCACUCAGGAUGAUAUUUUCCAGUUCCAACCAUUUGCCUACGAAUUUCAUAGACUCGUUGUUUUUGAUAGCUGAGUAAUAUUCCAUUGUGUAGAUGUACCACAUUUUCUGUAUCCAUUCCUCUGUUGAAGGGCAUCUCGGUUCUUUCCAUUUUCUGGCUAUUAUAAAUAAGGCUGCGAUGAACAUAG